GACGAACGCUGGCGGCGUGCUUAACACAUGCAAGUCGAACGGAAAGGCCCUUCGGGGUACUCGAGUGGCGAACGGGUGAGUAACACGUGGGUGAUCUGCCCUGCACUUUGGGAUAAGCCUGGGAAACUGGGUCUAAUACCGAAUAGGACCACGCGCUUCAUGGUGUGUGGUGGAAAGCUUUUGCGGUAUGGGAUGGGCCCGCGGCCUAUCAGCUUGUUGGUGGGGUAAUGGCCUACCAAGGCGACGACGGGUAGCCGGCCUGAGAGGGUGACCGGCCACACUGGGACUGAGAUACGGCCCAGACUCCUACGGGAGGCAGCAGUGGGGAAUAUUGCACAAUGGGCGCAAGCCUGAUGCAGCGACGCCGCGUGAGGGAUGACGGCCUUCGGGUUGUAAACCUCUUUCAAUAGGGACGAAGCGCAAGUGACGGUACCUAUAGAAGAAGCACCGGCCAACUACGUG
rnacentral:rRNA from 1 species